rnacentral:lncRNA from 1 species
UGAGCUCUUAGCAGUAGCAGUAGCAGUAGCAGUAGCAGUUUUGCGGGCGCACUCCAACCUAUGGGCUGACGCAGUCGACGAGCAUGGACACGGCAGCUUCCGUGCAAGGCAAAGGCAGCCAGGGGCGAGGCUUGAUCCUGAUCGCCUGGCUCAAAGGAAGCUCCUGCGGCUCACCGCCUCCCUCCAUCUCCGCCUUCGGUCUCGAACUCCCUGAGAAGGCAGCACGACCCUUCUCCCGAAGCUUCGCGAGCUCGGCCGUCCACGUAUCCACCAAGUUGGACAUUGUGAUCAGAGACUGCAGCAACGACGACGAUGGCUGACAAGCGACAGUCCAAGGAGAAGAAACAACACCAAGAGGAACAACUUACGAUGGAAGGAUGAGGCCUAGGGAGGUUGAUAAGGAGCAGCAGACGAGCUUAUCCAUUCCAAAACCAGGGCCUUUGGAAUCCUGGAGCCGCCAGUCUAUGGGAGGGAGCCCGCAGCUUCAUAAGAGCCCGAGGUAUAUGGCAUCAAAGCCAUUACAGAACGAGUCUUCCUUUUGUGCAUCACAUCACAUCCAUCAUCUCUCUCUCUCUCUCUCUCGCGUCUUCUG